rnacentral:lncRNA from 1 species
GUGGUGGCUCUUCAAUGCGUGCGCUGUUUUGCUGUUUUUGUGAAACAUUGAAAUGUCUUUCAAGAACAGUCUAUCAACAGGGCAUCACUGCGUUGUUUACGGCUGCAGUUAUAACCAGAAGAAGAGGAACGCUGCAAGAAAAGAGCUCUGCGGCACGCACAACGUGUUGCAAGAGGUAUGCGGAUGCAACGUGUAUUUGCUGCAUCGGUUUCCCGCUGACGCCGAUUUGAAAAGACAGUGGGUCGCCGCAGUCAACAGAAAAGAUUUUGUGCCGUCGCCUUCAUCACGUUUAUGUUCUGCGCAUUUUGUUGACGGCAAGCGCACCGAUCUAAACCCCGUGCCGAUGCUUCGCCUCGGAUACGAAAGAAAGGUACUCAAAGGACGAAGACGUGUAGUAAAGCACGACGGUCCACAGUUAAAGAAAAAGAGGACAGCUGAGAACGUAGCACCAGCCUCACCAUUAGGCAUUCACAAUCUC